rnacentral:rRNA from 1 species
GGCUCAGGAUGAACGCUGGCGGUAUGCUUAACACAUGCAAGUCGAACGGUCUCUUCGGAGAUAGUGGCGGACGGGUGAGUAACACGUGAGAACCUACCUUUAGAACGGGGACAACAGUUGGAAACGACUGCUAAUACCCGAUGUGCCGAGAGGUGAAAGAUUUAUCGUCUAAAGAUGGGCUCGCGGCUGAUUAGCUAGUUGGUGGUGUAAGGGACUACCAAGGCGACGAUCAGUAACUGGUCUGAGAGGAUGAGCAGUCACACUGGAACUGAGAAACGGUCCAGACUCCUACGGGAGGCAGCAGUGGGGAAUUUUCCGCAAUGGGCGAAAGCCUGACGGAGCAAUACCGCGUGAGGGAGGAAGGUUCUUGGAUUGUAAACCUCUUUUCUAGGGGAAGAAGAAAGUGACGGUACCCUAGGAAUAAGCAUCGGCUAACUCCGUGCCAGCAGCCGCGGUAAUACGGAGGAUGCAAGCGUUAUCCGGAAUUAUUGGGCGUAAAGAGUCCGUAGGUGGGAGUUCAAGUCUGCUGUUAAAGAGUGUAGCUUAACUACAUAAAGGCGGUGGAAACUGAGCAACUAGAGUGAGGUAGGGGUAACGGGAAUUCCCAGUGUAGCGGUGAAAUGCGUAGAUAUUGGGAAGAACAUCGGUGGCGAAAGCGCGUUACUGGGCCUAAACUGACACUGAGGGACGAAAGCUAGGGUAGCGAAAGGGAUUAGAUACCCCUGUAGUCCUAGCCGUAAACGAUGGAUACUAGGCGUAGCUUGUAUCGACCCGAGCUGUGCCGAAGCUAACGCGUUAAGUAUCCCGCCUGGGGAGUACGCACGCAAGUGUGAAACUU